rnacentral:siRNA from 1 species
UCACUCCAUUUUGCUUCUACUGCC